CCUACGGGAGGCAGCAGUGAGGAAUAUUGGUCAAUGGGCGCGAGUCUGAACCAGCCAAGUAGCGUGAAGGAUGACUGCCCUACGGGUUGUAAACUUCUUUUAUAAAGGAAUAAAGCGAGGCACGUGUGCCUUUUUGCAUGUACUUUAUGAAUAAUGAUCGGCUAACUCCGUGCCAGCAGCCGCGGUAAUACGGAGGAUCCGAGCGUUAUCCGGAUUUAUUGGGUUUAAAGGGAGCGUAGAUGGGUUGUUAAGUCAGUUGUGAAAGUUUGCGGCUCAACCGUAAAAUUGCAAUUGAUACUGGCAGCCUUGAGUACAGUUGAGGUAGGCGGAAUUCGUGGUGUAGCGGUGAAAUGCUUAGAUAUCACGAAGAACUCCGAUUGCGAAGGCAGCCUACUAAACUGUGACUGACAUUGAUGCUCGAAAGUGUGGGUAUCAAACAGGAUUAGAUACCCCGGUAGUC
rnacentral:rRNA from 1 species